rnacentral:rRNA from 1 species
GGUUAAGUUACUAAGGGCACACGGUGGAUGCCUUGGCGCUAGGAGCCGAAGAAGGACGCAGCGAACUGCGAUAAGCCUCGGGGAGCGGUAAGCACGCUUUGAUCCGGGGAUCUCCGAAUGGGGGAACCCACCAUCCGUAAUGGGAUGGUAUCCGUAUCUGAAUCCAUAGGGUACGAGAAGGCAGACCCGGUGAACUGAAACAUCUAAGUAGCCGGAGGAAGAGAAAACAAUAGUGAUUCCGUCAGUAGCGGCGAGCGAACGCGGAAGAGCCUAAACCGUCAGGUUUACCUGGCGGGGUUGUGGGGCGUCUCACACGGAGUUACAAAAGACGCGCGUAGGUGAACAGUUUGGGAAAGCUGACCACAGAGCGUGACAGUCGCGUAGCCUAAACGCGCGUCUCUCCGAGACCAACCCCGAGUAGUGCGGGACACGUGAAAUCCCGUAUGAAUCUGGCAGGACCAUCUGCUAAGGCUAAAUACUACCUAGCGACCGAUAGUGAACCAGUACCGUGAGGGAAAGGUGAAAAGCACCCCGGGAGGGGAGUGAAAUAGUACCUGAAACCGUGUGCUUACAAAUAGUCGGAGCUCGUUAAAAGAGUGACGGCGUGCCUUUUGUAGAAUGAACCGGCGAGUUACGGUAGCGUGCGAGGUUAAGUCGAAGAGACGGAGCCGCAGCGAAAGCGAGUCUGAAUAGGGCGCAAGUACGUUGCCGUAGACCCGAAACCGUGUGAUCUAGCCAUGUCCAGGGUGAAGGUAGGGUAACACCUACUGGAGGCCCGAACCCACGCACGUUGAAAAGUGCGGGGAUGAGGUGUGGCUAGCGGUGAAAUUCCAAUCGAACUCGGAGAUAGCUGGUUCUCCCCGAAAUAGCUUUAGGGCUAGCCUCGGAAUAAGAGUCUUGGAGGUAGAGCACUGAUUGGGCUAGGGGCCCUCAUCGGGUUACCGAACUCAGUCAAACUCCGAAUGCCAAUGACUUAUGUCCGGGAGUCAGACGGUGAGUGCUAAGAUCCAUCGUCAAGAGGGAAACAGCCCAGACCAUCAGCUAAGGUCCCCAAGUGUAUGUUAAGUGGGAAACGAUGUGGAGUUGCCCAGACAACCAGGAUGUUGGCUUAGAAGCAGCCACCAUUUAAAGAGUGCGUAAUAGCUCACUGGUCGAGUGACUCUGCGCGGAAAAUGUAACGGGGCUAAACAUACCACCGAAGCUAUGGCUAGUGAGAAUCCUUACGGAUCUACUUGGGUAGGGGAGCGUUCCAAGCAGCAGUGAAGCCGUACUGGAAAGAGCGGUGGAGCGCUUGGAAGUGAGAAUGCCGGUGUAAGUAGCGAAAAGACAAGUGAGAAUCUUGUCCACCGAAAGCCUAAGGUUUCCUGGGGAAGGCUCGUCCUCCCAGGGUUAGUCGGGACCUAAGCUGAGGCCGAAAGGCGUAGGCGAUGGACAACAGGUUGAUAUUCCUGUACCACCUUUGUUCCGCUUGAGCAAUGGCGUGACGCAGGAGGAUAGGGUGAGCGGCCUACUGGAUGGCCGUCCAAGCAGCAAGCCUGGUGUGUAGGCAAAUCCGCACACCAUAAGGGCAAGCUGUGAUGGCGAGGGAAAUUUUAGUACCGAAGUCCCUGAUUUCACACUGCCAAGAAAAGCGUCUAGCGAGGAGCAAGGUGCCCGUACCGCAAACCGACACAGGUAGGCGAGGAGAGAAUCCUAAGGUGCGCGGGAUAACUCUUGCUAAGGAACUCGGCAAAAUGGCCCCGUAACUUCGGGAGAAGGGGCGCCCCGGUAGGGUUUAUAGCCCGAGGGGGCCGCAGUGAAAAGGCCCAAGCGACUGUUUAGCAAAAACACAGGUCUCUGCGAAGCCGCAAGGCGAAGUAUAGGGGCUGACGCCUGCCCGGUGCUGGAAGGUUAAGGGGAUGGGUUAGCGCAAGCGAAGCUUUGAACCGAAGCCCCAGUAAACGGCGGCCGUAACUAUAACGGUCCUAAGGUAGCGAAAGUCCUUGUCGGGUAAGUUCCGACCCGCACGAAAGGCGUAACGACUUGGGCGCUGUCUCGGCAAGAGACCCGGUGAAAUCAUAAUACCUGUGAAGAUGCAGGUUACCCGCGACAAGACGGAAAGACCCCAUGGAGCUUUACUGUAGCCUGGUAUUGGAACUUUGUGCAUCAUGUACAGGAUAGGUGGGAAGCUGAGAAGCAGGGGCGCCAGCCUCUGUGGAGCUGUCGGUGGGAUACCACCCUUGAUGUACGGAGUUUCUAACUCGUCGCCCUGAUCGGGCGAGAGGACCAUGCCAGGUGGGCAGUUUGACUGGGGCGGUCGCCUCCUAAAAGGUAACGGAGGCGCCCA